rnacentral:lncRNA from 1 species
AGCCUCCCACACAGACAUGUCAUAAUGGUUUGAGAUUCCCAUUGAAAUUGAAUGGGAAUUACAGAGUUUUCGAAAUUCAGAUCACAGUUUGAAUGUAGUGCUUGAAUCAGAUGGGGUCCAGAUUGAUUAAAUCAUGCUAAAUCAACAUCCAAACUGAACAGGGGGACUCAUGGACAGCCCUGAUUAGAAAUAGACAGGUUCCAGCACCCCUAUGGACAGCGGUGAGAUUACAAGCCUACAUUUUCACAGCACACUGCCAAAAUCCAUCAGUACAAAUCCUUGAGGGAUGGAAAGAAAUAACUUGCUCAUAUGUAUUCUGCUUUUUGCCUUCUGUAGUUAAAGUGUGGUUUUCAUUACUGAAUGUAAAAUAUGAAGUGAUCUGUCAUUGUAGCAAUAAACUCAUUGCUUCUACUGCUUAAACCUGACCUCAUUAGAGAAUCUUCAUUCCAUUCCUUUAGUGCUUAUACAUUGGCUGGAAUCCUGUUGGGAGAAGUCCACCUGCACAACAGGGAUGAUGUUAUUGCCAGCAACUUAUCUCUACUGAUUAAAGGCCUCCUCUGGAAAUCUUGGGAAGCAUGUGAAUUUUGAGGAGCAUUGUGUCCAAGCAGGGCACACUAGAGAUGGGGACAAACCUGAAAAAUGGUGGCUGAUGAUGGCU